rnacentral:rRNA from 1 species
UACGGAGGGUGCAAACGUUGCUCGGAAUUAUUGGGCGUAAAGGGCGCGUAGGCGGCUUUGCAAGUGACGGGUGAAAUCCCUCGGCUUAACCGAGGAACUGCCUGUCAAACUGCAUGGCUUGAGACCGGGAGAGGUGAGUGGAAUUCCCAGUGUAGCGGUGAAAUGCGUAGAUAUUGGGAGGAACACCAGUGGCGAAGGCGGCUCACUGGACCGGUACUGACGCUGAUGCGCGAAAGCGUGGGGAGCAAACAGG